AGCAGCCGCGGUAAUUCCAGCUCCAAUAGCGUAUAUUAAAGGUUGUUGCAGUUAAAAAGCUCGUAGUUGAAUUUCGGGGUUAGUAGGUUGGUCAUGCCUCUGGUAUGUACUGGUCUCACUGAUUCCUCCUUCCUGAUGAGCCGUAAUGCCAUUAAUUUGGUGUUGCGGGGAAUUUGGACUGUUACUUUGAAAAAUUAGAGUGUUUAAAGCAAGCUAACGCUUGAAUACAUUAGCAUGGAAUAAUGAAAUAGGACGUUCGAUCCUAUUUUGUUGGUUUCUAGGAUUGACGUAAUGAUUAAUAGGGAUAGUUGGGGGCAUUAGUAUUCAAUUGUCAAAGGUGAAAUUCUUGGAUUUAUUGAAGACUAACUACUGCGAAAGCAUUUGCCAAGGAUGUUUUCAUUAAUCAAGAACGAAAGUUAGGGGAUCGAAGAUGAUCAGAUACCGUCGUAGUCUUAACCAUAAACUAUGCCGACUAGGGAUCGGAUGAUGUUAAUUUUUAAUGUACUCAUUCGGCGCCUUA
rnacentral:rRNA from 1 species